rnacentral:piRNA from 1 species
UACGUAAAUUAUUAUAACCCU